rnacentral:rRNA from 1 species
GACGAACGCUGGCGGCGUGCUUAACACAUGCAAGUCGAACGGAAAUGCCCUGCUUUUUUGGGUUACUCGAGUGGAGAACGGGUGUAUAACGCGUGUGUAACCUGCCCUUCUCUUUUGGAUAACUUCAGGAAACUGGAGCUAAUACCGGAUAUUCUCUCCUGCUGCAUUGUGGGGGUUGGAAAGUUUCGGCUGUUGGGGAUGGGCUCGCUGCUUAUCAUCUUGGUUGUGGGGUAGUGGCUUACCAUGGCGUUGGCGGGUAGCCGGCCUGAGAGGGUGACCGGCCAAAGUGGGAGUGAGAUACGGGCGAGAGUCGUAGGGGAGGCAGCAGUAGGGAAUAAUGCAUGAUGGGGCGAAGCCGGAUGAAGCAACGACGCGUGCGGGAUGAAGGCCUUCGGGUUGAAAACAGAUUGCGCCGGUGACGAAGUGGGAGUGACGGUAAUGGGUAAAGAAGCACCGGCUAACUACGUG